GGGAGCAGACUCGCCGGCCGCAGCGCCUCCACCGAGGCUCGGGCGCGGAGCUCGGCUCACCUGGCAGUUCCUAAUUACAGGGGAGUUCGCCCCUACAUUUUUGUGUGCUUUAUUUUCUCGGAGGAAACUCAAGCUCGUCUCUCGGGUCUUGGAGAGCUCACGGCCAGCAGCCGGGCCAUCGCGGCCCCCGAGCCCAAGGAGAAGGUGGGGAGGAAGUCGGGGCCCCUACGGACUGCACAGACUCCCACACCUCCGACUACGCCCAGGUGAAAAGUCCCGACCUGCCCACGACAACGACGACGGAGGCUCCGGGGUUCCCUGUGCCUGCCUCGAACCCUGCACCCUGGCGCCCCAGGCUUACCCGGCUUUUUUUGUCUGGAGCAGGCCCGCUGGACACAGCUGCCUCACCAGCCAGAGCUGGUGUAAGCUGUGGCACAGUGGACACCUUGUCCGAGGCCUGCCAGCUGGCUGCUGUCUGCAUAGCCAAGCAUGGACAACCACUACAGGCAGCCCGAGGAUCCCGAACCAGGUGGAAAAGGCCUAUGCCUAUCUGAAGGAGAUUAUGUGAUCACCAAGCAGAACUGCUGAGCAGAACCAGCUUGAAGCUGCAAGAGAAGGACUUGGAGAGUAACGUGGAGAUCAAGGACAUGAAGGAAACCAUAUUUGAGUUGGAAGAUCAAGUGGUAGCACUAGGCAGUGAAGUUAUAUAACAACCACCUUAUCAGUGAGCUGGAAAGUAACGAGAUCAAGUUGGAGCAGCAGAAGUCAGACCUAGAAAGUCUGCUGAAGACUCUGACCAAGGAAGGAGGAGACAGAGGAAUGGAGGAGAUUCCAGGCAGACCUGCAGACCUCAGUGGUGGUAGCCAACCACAUCAAGUGUGAGGUCCAGUAGGAGCUGCACACUGUGAAGAGGAGGCUGCUGGAGGAGGAGAAGAAUGCUGGGCUGCAGGAGGAGCUGGGCAACAUGUAGGGACACCACAGCUCUGUGGUCUCUGUCAGCUAACAAAGCAUGUGGUGAAAGAAAGGCAGCCUAACCCUUGCCAUGUCCAGAAACUACAGCCAUUUCUAUAAGAAAGAAGAAAACUGUAGAGGAGACCCCACCUCUUUCUAAAGAGCCUGGAGUCUUCUCCUAGCCCUCAGUCUCAGACAGUCAUUCCCAUCAAGUGUCCUUACCUUUUUUCUAUGUUUUAGAAUCAAUUCACUGCAUGAUCAGACAUGAUCAGACAUCUUCUUUUUUUCUCUCCCCUCAGUCUUUGAUUUGGAGAGUAAAAUGAAGUUGCUCUGAAAAAGCAAAAUGCAAGUCUUGUGAAAACAAACAAACAAACAAACAAACAACUUUUUAUAUGCAGCGAGCAUUCAGAAAAAGCAGUGGUAUAGCCAGUUCAGAGCAUGAAACACAAUGCUUGUGUUCAACCUUUUGGUAUUUAUUUUUACACUUCCUUUUGAAUGUGGUACCUGAUUUUCUUGGAAAUCAUACUACUAAAGGCAAAAUAGAAAUGAUACCUAUUUCAAAGAUUUGCAGAACGUUUUGCUUCCUUAUCUCGGGUCUCAAGCUGGGGUCUGACUUAAUUAUUUCAUUUGCAGCAAGCCACUGCUUAGGUCUGGUAUGAAUUCCAGAAUCUUCUGGGUCGUCCCAGACCCAGUGGCUUAAACACACGUGGGUG